CAGGCCUAACACAUGCAAGUCGAACGGCAGCGCGGGAGCAAUCCUGGCGGCGAGUGGCGAACGGGUGAGUAAUAUAUCGGAACGUGCCCAUUAGUGGGGGAUAGCCCGGCGAAAGCCGGAUUAAUACCGCAUACGACCUGAGGGUGAAAGCGGGGGAUCGCAAGACCUCGCGCUAUUGGAGCGGCCGAUAUCAGAUUAGCUAGUUGGUGGGGUAAAGGCCUACCAAGGCAACGAUCUGUAGUUGGUCUGAGAGGACGACCAGCCACACUGGGACUGAGACACGGCCCAGACUCCUACGGGAGGCAGCAGUGGGGAAUUUUGGACAAUGGGCGCAAGCCUGAUCCAGCAAUGCCGCGUGCAGGAAGAAGGCCUUCGGGUUGUAAACUGCUUUUGUCAGGGAAGAAAUCCUUUGGGUUAAUACCCUCGGAGGGAUGACGGUACCUGAAGAAUAAGCACCGGCUAACUACGUGCCAGCAGCCGCGGUAAU
rnacentral:rRNA from 1 species